GCUAGUGUGGUGCAGGGGUUUGAACAUCAGACUAGAAUUCUGGAGACUAGGGUUCGAAUCCCGCUCGGCCA